rnacentral:rRNA from 1 species
AGAGCGAACGCUGGCGGCAGGCCUAACACAUGCAAGUCGAGCGGCCGUAGCAAUACGGCAGCGGCAGACGGGAUAGUAACACGUGGGAACGCGCCCUUCGGUUCGGAAUAACUCAGGGAAACUUGAGCUAAUACCGGAUACGCCCUAACGGGGAAAGAUUUAUUGCCGAAGGAACGGCCCGCGUCCGAUUAGCUAGUUGGUGAGGUAAUGGCUCACCAAGGCGACGAUCGGUAGCUGGUCUGAGAGGAUGACCAGCAUCACUGGGACUGAGACACGGCCCAGACUCCUACGGGAGGCAGCAGUGGGGAAUAUUGGACAAUGGGCGCAAGCCUGAUCCAGCCAUGCCGCGUGGAUGAUGAAGGCCUUAGGGUUGUAAAGUCCUUUUAACGGGGAAGAUAAUGACGGUACCCGUAGAAUAAGCCCGGCUAACUUCGUGCCAGCAGCCGC